UACGAAGGGGGCUAGCGUUGUUCGGAAUUACUGGGCGUAAAGCGUGCGCAGGCGGCGCCGCAAGUCAGGCGUGAAAUCCCCGAGCUUAACUUGGGAAUGGCGCUUGAAACUACGGUGCUGGAGUGUGGCAGAGGGAGGUGGAAUUCCACGUGUAGCGGUGAAAUGCGUAGAGAUGUGGAGGAACACCGAUGGCGAAGGCAGCCUCCUGGGCCAACACUGACGCUCAUGCACGAAAGCGUGGGGAGCAAACAGG
rnacentral:rRNA from 1 species